GCCCCCUUCGUCUAGCGGCCCAGGACGCCAGACUCUCAGUCCGGAAACAGGGGUUCGAAUCCCUUAGGGGGUA
rnacentral:tRNA from 1 species